AUGACGCUGGCGGAAUGCUUUACACACGCAGUCUGAACGGCAGCACGGACUUCGGUCUGGUGGCGAGUGGCGAACGGGUGAGUAAUACAUCGGAACGUGCCCAGUCGUGGGGGAUAACGUAGCGAAAGCUACGCUAAUACCGCAUACGAUCUAAGGAUGAAAGCGGGGGAUCGCAAGACCUCGCGCGAUUGGAGCGGCCGAUGGCAGAUUAGGUAGUUGGUAGGGUAAAGGCCUACCAAGCCGACGAUCUGUAGCUGGUCUGAGAGGACGACCAGCCACACUGGGACUGAGACACGGCCCAGACUCCUACGGGAGGCAGCAGAUGGGGAAUUUUGGACAAUGGGCGAAAGCCUGAUCCAGACAUUCCGCGUGCAGGAUGAAGUGCCCUCGGGUUGUAAACUGCUUUUGUACGGAACGAAAAGGUCCUGGUUAAUACCUGGGGACUCAUGACGGUACCGUAAGAAUAAGCACCGGCUAACUACGUGCCACGACAGCCGCGGUAAUACAGUAGGGUGCAAGCGUUAAUCGGAAUUCACUGGGCGUAAAGCGUGCGCAGGCAGGUAGAUGUAAGACAGACGGUGAAAUCCCCGGGACUCAACACAUGGCCGAACUGACUUUGUGACUGAAUCGACUGAGAGUACAGGCAGAGGGGGAUGGAAUUAC
rnacentral:rRNA from 1 species